AUUGAACGCUGGCGGCAGGCCUAACACAUGCAAGUCGAGCGAGCGGCGGACGGGUGAGUAAUGUAUGGGGACUGCCCGAUAGAGGGGGAUAACUACUGGAAACGGUGGCUAAUCCCGCAUACUAUCGGAUAACCCAUAUGGGAUUAUCUAGUGGGUGGGGUAAAGGCUCACCUAGGCGACGAUCUCUAGCUGGUCCGAGAGGAUGAUCAGCCACACGGGGACGGAGACACGGCCCAGACUCCUACGGAGGCAGAAGUGGGGAAUAUUGCACAAGGGGGGCAAGCCGGAUGCAGCAAUGCGGCGUGUAUGAAGAAGGCCUUAGGGUUGUAAAGUACGUUCAGCGGGGAGGCGUUACCCGCAGAAGAAGCACCGGCUAACUCCGUGCCAGCAGCCGCGGUAAUUC
rnacentral:rRNA from 1 species